rnacentral:lncRNA from 1 species
GUGUCAUGAUUGCACUUAUUUAUAAUAUAAAUGUUUUAAAUAUAGAAAUUAAAAUGGCUCAAACACAUGUGAGAUUCAAUUGAAGAAGAUAAAUUUUAAUAUAAUCUCAGCAUAUCAAAGUUAUACAUAAAUGUGAAAACUCAAAGGAAAAUUGCCCUGAGACCACCUACACCUCCUCUGACCCUCUCGCCUCCUGCCUGGCCAUACCCAGCCCCUUUAAGCCCUGCUUCCACCUCCUCUGUUCCUGCACCCAGGUGGCUCAGGUCUGCCCAGGGAAACCAUGUGGCCAAACUGAGGCUGCCCCUUUUUAAGGAACCCUCCAGUGCAGGUUCUGACGGCAAUAUUUGAAAGCCCUUAUUCCAGUCACUGCUGGAUCCAGACAGAAGCGUUGUACUACUCCAGGGAUGCCAUUCGUACUACACACACAUCCAACACCUGCCAAAAUUUUCUUGUGUCCAUUUGAUGUGUUUUAUUUCUGCAGUUAAAAAAAAAGAAAGAAAACCCACCUAACAUGAGAUCUACCCUGUUAGUAAAUUUGUAUGUGCACAAUAUUAUUUUGUGAACUCUUAUGUUGGCCAGGAGUUCAAGACUAGCCCGGGCAACAUGAUGAGACUGCAUCUCUACCAAAAAAAAAAAAAUUUUUUUAAUUAACCAGGCAUGGUGGCACGCUACUCAUGAGGCUGAGGCAGGAGGAUCGCUUGAGCCCAGGAGAUCGAGGCUGCGGUGAGCUAUGAUCCCGCCACUGCACUCCAGCCAGGG